rnacentral:rRNA from 1 species
CUACGGGCGGCUGCAGUCGAGAAUCUUCCGCAAUGGACGAAAGUCUGACGGAGCGACGCCGCGUGCGGGAUGAAGGCCUUCGGGUUGUAAACCGCUGUCAAUGGGGAGGAAAUGCAUCAGGGUUCUCCCUGGUGUUUGACCGAUCCGCAGAGGAAGCGCAGGCUAAGUUCGUGCCAGCAGCCGCGGUAACACGAACUGCGCGAACGUUAUUCGGUAUCACUGGGCUUAAAGAGUUCGUAGGCGGCCUUUCAAGUCGGGUGUGAAAUCCCUCGGCUCAACCGAGGAAUUGCGCCUGAUACUGUUGGGCUUGAGGGGGAUAGGGGUGAGCGGAACUGAUGGUGGAGCGGUGAAAUGCGUUGAUAUCAUCAGGAACACCGGUGGCGAAGGCGGCUCACUGGAUCUCUUCUGACGCUGAGGAACGAAAGCUAGGGGAGCGAACGGGAUUAGUACCCGUGUAGUC